rnacentral:rRNA from 1 species
GGAUUAGAUACCCUGGUAGUCCACGCCGUAAACGAUGUCAACUAGCCGUUGGGGGACUUGAUCCUUUAGUGGCGAAGCUAACGCGAUAAGUUGACCGCCUGGGGAGUACGGCCGCAAGGUUAAAACUCAAAUGAAUUGACGGGGGCCCGCACAAGCGGUGGAGCAUGUGGUUUAAUUCGAAGCAACGCGAAGAACCUUACCUACUCUUGACAUCCAGAGAACUUUCCAGAGAUGGAUUGGUGCCUUCGGGAACUCUGAGACAGGUGCUGCAUGGCUGUCGUCAGCUCGUGCCG